AUGUUCUCUCCAUCAUCUCUACUGCUCCUGCUGGCAGCUGCUUCCUGUGGACGUUGUGUUGAACUGAAUCAGCCUGGAUCCAUGACGGUCCAACCAGGCCAGGUUCUCUCCAUCAACUGUAAGGUUUCAUAUUCAGUUACGAGUUAUACUACACAUUGGAUCCGACAGGCUGCAGGAGAAGCUCUGGAGUGGAUCGGAUACAUCAGCAGUGGUGGUGGCACAGCUUACAAUGAUAAACUGAAAAAUAAGUUCAGCAUCUCCAGAGACACGAGCAGCAACACCAUAACAUUACGAGGCCAGAAUGUACAAGCUGAAGAUUCAGCUGUGUAUUACUGUGCGAGAAAACUCACUGGACCUCAUUUUUAUUUCUAUUCUGGUGGGUCCAGUUAUGAUCAGAUCCUCCGUGACAGUUGUUGA